rnacentral:rRNA from 1 species
ACGUAGGGUGCAAGCGUUAAUCGGAAUUACUGGGCGUAAAGCGUGCGCAGGCGGUUUCGUAAGUCUGUCGUGAAAUCCCCGGGCUUAACCUGGGAAUGGCGAUGGAGACUGCGAGGCUAGAGUUUGGCAGAGGGGGGUAGAAUUCCACGUGUAGCAGUGAAAUGCGUAGAGAUGUGGAGGAACACCGAUGGCGAAGGCAGCCCCCUGGGUCAAAACUGACGCUCAUGCACGAAAGCGUGGGGAGCAAACAGGA